rnacentral:rRNA from 1 species
AGAGUUUGAUCCUGGCUCAGGAUGAACGCUGACAGAAUGCUUAACACAUGCAAGUCUACUUGAAUUCACUUCGGUGAUAGUAAGGUGGCGGACGGGUGAGUAACACGUAAAGAACUUGCCUUGCAGUCUGGGACAACUAUUGGAAACGAUAGCUAAUACCGGAUAUUAUGCAUGAGUCGCAUGACUCAUGUAUGAAAGCUACAUGCGCUGCGAGAGAGCUUUGCGUCCCAUUAGCUAGUUGGUGAGGUAACGGCUCACCAAGGCCACGAUGGGUAGCCGGCCUGAGAGGGUGAACGGCCACAAGGGGACUGAGACACGGCCCUUACUCCUACGGGAGGCAGCAGUGGGGAAUAUUGGACAAUGGACCAAAAGUCUGAUCCAGCAAUUCUGUGUGCACGAUGACGGUCUUAGGAUUGUAAAGUGCUUUCAAUUGGGAAGAAAAAAAUGACGGUACCAAUAGAAGAAGCGACGGCUAAAUACGUGCCAGCAGCCGCGGUAAUACGUAUGUCGCAAGCGUUAUCCGGAUUUAUUGGGCGUAAAGCGCGUCUAGGUGGUUUGGUAAGUCUGAUGUGAAAAUGCGGGGCUCAACUCCGUAUUGCGUUGGAAACUGCCUAACUAGAGUAUCGGAGAGGUGGGCGGAACUACAAGUGUAGAGGUGAAAUUCGUAGAUAUUUGUAGGAAUGCCGAUAGAGAAGUCAGCUCACUGGACGAAUACUGACACUGAAGCGCGAAAGCAUGGGGAGCAAACAGGAUUAGAUACCCUGGUAGUCCAUGCUGUAAACGAUGAUUACUAAGCGUCGGGGGUCGAACCUCGGCACUCAAGCUAACGCGAUAAGUAAUCCACCUGGGGAGUACGUUCGCAAGAAUGAAACUCAAAGGAAUUGACGGGGACCCGCACAAGCGGUGGAGCAUGUGGUUUAAUUCGAAGCAACGCGAAGAACCUUACCAAGUCUUGACAUCCUUCUGACCGGCGCGUAACGGCGCCUUCUCUUCGGAGCAGGAGUGACAGGUGGUGCAUGGUUGUCGUCAGCUCGUGUCGUGAGAUGUUGGGUUAAGUCCCGCAACGAGCGCAACCCCUAUCAUUAGUAGCCAGCGGUCCGGCCGGGCACUCUGAGGAGACUGCCAGGGAUAACCUGGAGGAAGGUGGGGAUGACGUCAAAUCAUCAUGCCCCUUAUGAUUUGGGCUACACACGUGCUACAAUGGCGUAAACAAAGGGAAGCAGGAAGGCGACUUUGAGCAAAUCCCAAAAAUAACGUCCCAGUUCGGACUGCAGUCUGCAACUCGACUGCACGAAGCUGGAAUCGCUAGUAAUCGCGGAUCAGAAUGCCGCGGUGAAUACGUUCCCGGGUCUUGCACACACCGCCCGUCA